rnacentral:misc_RNA from 1 species
UUUUUUUUUUAAAUAAAGAAUGAAAAACAUAUUAUGAUACAUAACUUUUACAUCCAACUAGCCCUCAUUGUCAGUCUUUACAGAUACAAGGAUGAAAUAUCCAUCAAAUCUAACGAUUGAGAGGUAACCUCCAGGCUCCAGCGAGAACAUACACACACAUUCAUACAUUAAGAUAUAGUGAUCAACUUCNNNNCAGCAAUACUUCACCAUAAACAUCUUCCAUCCAGCUUCAGCCCACACCUAAAGAAUUCACGAGCAACCA